rnacentral:rRNA from 1 species
AACGAACGCUGGCGGCAGGCCUAACACAUGCAAGUCGAACGCUGCAGCAAUGCAGAGUGGCAGACGGGUGAGUAACGCGUGGGAACCUUCCCAGUGGUACGGAAUAGCCCAGGGAAACUUGGGGUAAUACCGUAUAAGCCCCUAGGGGGAAAGAUUUAUCGCCAUUGGAUGGGCCCGCGUCGGUUUAGCUAGUUGGUGAGGUAACGGCUCCCCAAGGCGACGAUCCGUAGCUGGUCUGAGAGGCUGAUCAGCCACACUGGGACUGAGACACGGCCCAGACGCCUACGGGAGGCAGCAGUGGGGAAGAUUGGACAAUGGGCGCAAGCCUGAUCCAGCCAUGCCGCGCGAGUGACGAAGGCCUUAGGGUUGUAAAGCUCUUUUGGCGGGGACGAUAAUGACGGUACCCGCAGAAUAAGCUCCGGCUAACUGCGUGCCAGCCGCCGCCGUAA